ensembl:lncRNA
AAGGGACGUUACCCCAAAAAGAAAGAAAAUUUGAAAAUCAAUGAGACUAACGGUGGUCAAAAACCGAGAUGCUCUUGCAAAGAGAUGGAGCAGAGAUGAAAACAACAAAGGAGAAAAGUAACAGGCGGAUGGUUCUGCCACUGGAGGAGCCGAAGCACUAGACGCGAGGAAGGGAAGACGAGUUUCAGAAACUCGCCAAAAGAAAGCUCUGGGGGGAACAUGAGAGCCUUUGAGAGGGACCAGUAAAGAAAGGAUCCGUGAGGUGUCCAGCAGGGAGCUGGGAUCCUGGAACCCAAGAGGACUCCACCCAGGCUGGGACCGGGGUUCAAACGCUGCUUGCUGGGCAGCUUCAGAACUUUGCAAACGGCCUGGACACCCAUCGGGGGCACUGAUUACGUACAGGUGGAGGCACCGCCAGGUGGGAGAGCAAGAGGCUGGACAGACCCCCGCCGGCUUCUUCAAGGAGUGGCCGAGAACAACUGUAUGUCCACAAGUUCACUGUGAGCAUGUCCUGGAGACAGCUGUCCACUGGCCUUCGUCCCACUCGCAUGGUGAGAAGAAACUUCCGGGGCUUACCCAUGGUUCUCCUCUCCGUCUCAGGCGUGGGGUGAAGCCAUGUGACUGGUGCUGGCCAGUGGAGUGUGGGAGGCAGGGACGUGAUGCUCUUUCCCUGCCUCGGGGACCCAGAGAUGGAGGCGCCACCAGCGGGAGGCAGCCUGGAUCCCUGGGCCUUCGCGUGGAGGGCAGUUGCCCUGGAGAAGCUCCUGGACCCACGGCAGACUUUGCUGGAUGCAGAACAGACUUGUGCUGUGUGAGACACUGCGAUGUGGGGCUCGCUCGUUACGCAGCACAACCGAGCCUUGCUCACCGAUACAGACGUGGAAAACCACAUUCUGGUUCAAGGGAAGCCCAGAGACCUUGGACAAGUCUCUUGACUCCUCCAGGCCUCAGUUUCCCCAGGUGUACUGUCAGGCAAGGGGUCUUUUCUCCUCUGACUAGGGCCUGUGCUGCUCCUGUUCCCAAACCCCACACGCCUGGGGCAUAUCUGCCAGGACUAAGGACUGCUGGGUGCUGAGUGCUUCCUGGACGCCGGCCUCCGCUGGACCACCUUGCAGGCAUCAUGGAAUCCUCGCAGUGGCCCCAGAGGGAGGCACCAUCAUCAUCCCCAUUACCCCGUGAGGAAACUCAGGCUCCGGGAGGGGAGGACACUUGCCCGGGAAUACGGCAUCUGUGAUUCUUAACUGCUCUAAUGACAACUCCCAUCUGAUAUUUUAAUUUAUUUCUUGUAAAUGCAACUUAAAAGAAAGCCCACUGUUGACAACUUGAGAGAACUUAGAAUACGAUUUUUUUUAAAUUUGCCAUCGUAACCAUUUUUAAGCGUACAGUUCAGUGGCAUAACGUACAGUCACAUUCUUGUGCAACCAUCACCACCAUCCGUCUCCAGAACUCUUUCUGUGUGUGUGAGGAAGACUGGCCCUGAGCUAACUUCUGUUGCCAAUCUUCCUCUUUUUGCUCGAGGAAGAUUGUCGCUGAGCUAACAUCUGUGCCCAUCUUCCUCUAUUUUAUGUGGGAUGCCAACACAGCAUGGCUUAAUGAACGGUGCCAGGUCCACAUCCGGGAUCUGAACCCAGGAACCCCAGCCGCAGAACGGAGCACACGGACUUAAGCACUACGCUGUGGGGCCAGCCCUUCCAGAACUCUUUU